AGGACCAGUGGCCUUAUGAGAAGAGGAAGCUCUUUCUCUCCCUCCCUCUGUCUCCCUCUGUCUCCAUCUCCCUCCCUCUCCCUCCCCCUCUCUCCUCCCCAUCCCCACCCCCUUCCUGCCCCAUGUGAGGACACAGCGAGUAGGGAGCCAUCUGCAAGCCAGGAAGAGAGGUCUCACCAGAAACUGACCCUGCUAAUCUGGGACUUCUAGCCUCGAGAACUGGCAGAAGAAACAUAUAUGAAGCCACAAUGUACCAGUUCAUCUCAAUUAUGGUUUGAAGGCCUUUUUGAGAGGAGAGACAAAUCUUUUGUUUCUAUCAUCCUCCAGCAUUAUCUUGGCACUAGUCGUUGAUCCAAAUAAGAAACUUCUUUCCUUAAGUUUCCUCACAAACAACAUCAUCCUUUUUUUUUUUUUUUGAGGAAGAUUAGCCCUGAGCUAACAUCUGCUGCCAAUCCUCCUCUUUUUGCUGAGGAAGACUGGCCCUGAGCUAACAUCCGUGCCCAUCUUCCUCCACUUUAUAUGUGGUACACCUACCACAGCAUGGCUUGCCAAGCGGUGCCAUGUCUGCAACCAGGAUCUGAACCGGUGAAACCCGGGCUGCUGAAGCAGAACGUGUGAACUUAACCACUGUGUCACUGGGCUGCUCCAACAUCAUUCUAUUUUUUAACAGGAUGUCUAAAGGCUCUGAAAAUCAGAUCCAGAGAGAUCAUUUAAUCUCUAUUUAAUCAAAAUAAUCUCAAUAGUCAAUCUAGUCUGACCUGAAACUUUGUAAUUUUAGUCCAUUCUUGUUUAAAUGAUCAACUUACAAAAACAAAUUAACCAGGAGAUCCUCUUCAAUUUGCAAAAAAUCUUUAAGGAGCAAUCAAAUGCAGCCCACAGAGGCUUUCCAGCCACCAUGUCUCUCUAACUAGAGUAACUAGUUAAGUUUCCAGUUUCCUAGAAACAGCUCAUAGUCUUUCUACAAUCUUAGCUUCUCAUCUGGAAGUGACUUGGUUUGGAUAAUAAAUUAUAUGGUCAUCAUAUUUAUAAGGUUUAGGUCCUUGGCAGUUUGCAUAUUAGUAGUUUACCCCUCUAGUGACCCUCAGGUGGUCCAUAAGCCAAGUCUACCUCUCAUGUCAGGCUCUAAUGGUGCACUGAGGAAAACAGGCACAUGGUGGGACAAUGGGCAGACCAGACAUAUUGGAACAUGCAAGCGUCUAGAUGCAGGAUUCUACAAAAAGGGGUGUCAGAGUGACAAAGAGUCUGCCAUGGAGCAUGUGAGGUCAGAGGAAGGAAGUGCAUGUGAUUCAAACAUAAAUAUAUUGAAUCAUGAUAGACAGAAGUUCUCUGGACAGAGAACAGUUAUGUGCAGACAGAAAACAGGUGGACAUGUACAGCUCACCAUGAGACAAACUGCAGUGGCAACUCAAGAGGGGAGCAUGUGAAUUUCCUGACUGUUCUUUGAGAAGAAUUGCACUGUUUGAAAAUCUUUUCUGCCUUUAGUCUAUGGAUCCUGAAAGCAGUAGAGGCAGUGGUGAUUGGGGUGAUUUGGAACUUUGUAUAUUAUGUCUUUGUUAUUGAUUUCAAAUUUUUUUUUCUGGGUUUUUUUUUUACUCCCCAGAUCCCCCUAGUAGAUAGUCGUAUAUUUUAGUUGUGGGUCCUUCUAGUUGUGGCAUGUGGGACGCUGCCUCACUGUGGCCUGAUGAGCAGUGCCAUGUCUGUGCCCAGGAUGCAAACCGGUGAAACCCUGGGCCACCAUAGCGGAGUGCGUGAACUUAAUCACUCGGCCACGGGGCUGGCCCCCCAAUUUUUUGCUAUUGGUCUAUAUGAUAUUAAUUAUUUGGGUUUUUAGAACUUUUUUCUUGUAGAUCAGUACGUGAUUAAUCUAUGUAAAUGUUGAAUAUGUGCUUGAAAAGAAGGUAUAUUCUUUAUAAUGUGAAAAUAACUCUAUAUAUCUAAUAAUAUAAUCAUUUAAAUUAUAUUAUUUGUAUCUUCUGUACAUUGGCCUACUUUUUGGCUUUUUGAUCUAUCAGCUUUUGAGGGAAGUCUAUUAAAAUCUCCCAAAUCUUCCAUCACAAUUGCCAAUUUAUCUACUUGCCUCUGUAGGUCUAUUAGUUGUUGCAUUAUAUAGUUUGAGACUAUGCUAUUAGGUCCAUAUAGGUUCAUGAUUGUUAGCUCUUAUUACUCUACUCUUUGUUUUAUGAGAAUAUAAUAUUUCUUCUUGUUACCUAUUAAAUUUUUGUCUUUAAUUAUAUUUUGAGAGAUUUUAUGAAUUCUAGAUUUCUUUGAUUUCUUUUGGUUUUGUCUGUUU
rnacentral:lncRNA from 1 species